AAAAGGCCUAUGAUCAUGUCAAUUGGUCAUUCCUUCUAAAAAUUCUGAGAGACAUGGGCUUUGCGAACAAAUGGAUAAAUUGGAUCAAAACAUGUAUAUCUACUGUGAAAUUCUCUCUUAUCAUCAACGGUAGUCUAGAUGGUUUCUUUCAAUCACAAAGAGGUUUAAGGCAAGGUGAUCCAAUGUCACCUUUCCAAUUUAUCUUAGCAAUGAAAGGCUUCAGUUCUAUGAUCAAAAGAGCAAGUGAGAAAGGGUGGAUAAAGGGGCUUCCCUGCAAAUGCUAAUAGGGGAAAUACUAUGGAAAUCACACAUCUGUUAUAUGUAGAUGACUCCUUGGUAUUCUGUGAAGCUGAAGUAAUGCAAAUGAGACACUUGAGGGCCAUUCUAACCAUUUUUGAGGGCAUCUCAGGUUUACAUGUUAACUGGCAUAAGAGUUGCUUGUACCCUAUUAACCAAGUUACCAAUAUGCAGAUACUUGCUGUGAACGUAGGAUGCCAAAUGGAUUCCUUACCAACUAAAUAUCUUGGAAUGCCUCUUGUUGCAAAAAAUAAAGAGGUGGAAGUAUGGAGUGAAGUGUUGGAAAGAAAUGAGAGAAAGUUGACAAGAUGGAAGAGCCAAUACCUAUCUAUGGGAGGCAGAUUAACUCUCAUAAAGUCAAAAAUGGAUGCCCUCCCAACUUACAUGAUAAGCCUAUUCCCAAUCCCAGGAAGCAUAGAGAAGAAAAUCAACAAACUAAGGAGAGUCUUCUUAUGGCAAGGGAACAAAGAGAAGCUUGGGUACAACCUAGUCAUAUGGGAUUAGGUGGCCAUCAACAAAAUAAAAGGGGGUAUGGGGAUAAAAAAGUUGAAAGUACAGAAUGUCAGGUUGUUGAAGAGGUGGCUUUGGAGGUUAUGUAUUGAAGAUUUGACAUUAUGGAGAGGAUUCAUAUCACAUAAAUAUGGUCUUCAAAAUAAUAAGGAUGGCAAGUUCUCUGUAGGUAGAAUUUAUAGGAAAGAGGUAUCCUGGAUGCCUGAGAACAAAAUAGGCCCUUGGAAGCAUGUAUGGAAAAGUAUGGCUCCUACUAAGGUCAAGUACUUUGCUUGGUUAGUAAUCAGGAAAGCUUGCCUCACUCAUGAGAUCCUGCAGAAAAAGGGAUUGCCAAUUGUUCCAGAUGCAUGGUAUGUAGUGAUGCUAGAGAGACAAAUAAUCAUCUGUUCCUCCAUUGUAAAGUCACAUCUCAGCUUUGGACUAUGUUCCUCAGUUUAACAGAGACAAAAUGGUCAAUGCCAGAGCAGCAGACUUGUUAAGUUGCUGGAUUAGGAAAGGGGGAAGGAAGACACAGAAGAAGUGGUGGAGAAUAAUCCCACACUGUAUCUGGUGGACUAUCUGGAGGGAGAGGAAUGGAAGAAACUUUGAAGAUAGAUUCAACAACAUUCA